rnacentral:rRNA from 1 species
UACGAAGUGUGCAAGCGUUAAUCGGAAUUACUGGGCGUAAAGGGCGCGCAGGCGGCGGCGUGGGUCCGGCGUGAAAGCCCCCGGCUCAACCGGGGAACGUCGUCGGGGACCGCGCCGCUUGAGGGCGGCAGGGGCCGGUGGAAUGCCUGGUGUAGUGGUGAAAUGCGUAGAGAUCAGGCGGAACACCCGUGGCGAAGGCGGCCGGCUGGGCCGUCCCUGACGCUGAGGCGCGAAGGCGUGGGGAGCGAACGGG